AUUUGUUUAGUGUUUUGCCGUAGGAUAGGUAGGAUGCAUACCUGCAGCACAUUGGUUAGUAUAAUAUUUGAUUUUGAGAAAAAAAUGUACUACUUUUAUAUUUUACUUUGAAAUCAAUACAUUUAGUUAUCUCUCUGACCUUAUUUUUUGUUUAUUUAUAUGAAAAAUAAUCAUGUCGUACGUUGACGUAUUUCUAAUUUCUUUCAAGAUAUUCAUUGCCAUCAUAUGUGCAUGAUGUGCAGUUACGAUCAAACUGUAUUACCCUAAAAAAAUUGAAUGAUAGGGGACGGCAAUCCAAUAACGAGAACAAUUAAAAUAUAUAAGGAGGGCAUCAUCAAUGUUGCUAUUAUCGUAGCACAACCAGUCGAAGUCGAGAUUUGAUAUAGUGCGAUAUCAUAUCUGGCUUCGUGAUAAUACUCUUGAAGAUGUUGUGAACUUUUGGGAAGCUAUGCAAGUUCAGGGAUUUUUUUCUUGAUAAUUAGCAAACCGUUUUCUUUAUUUGUUUGUAUUCUUUAUUUUUUAAUUUGAUUUAUAUCACGUUAAUUGGAUGUUAUUCCCAAAUUUCAAUUAGUUAGUUAAUACUACAUAAUUCAACUGAUGCAUUCAUCUCCAUCAAAAGAGAAAAAAGAAACAAAACAAACAAAACAAAAAUGAAGAAGAAAAACCAUACAACCAUCGACAAAACUUAGUUUAUAUUUAGCUGAUUCUUUAAUGAAAGAAGGCAUUUAAAAAUUGUUAAGUUAAAAAGAGAAUAGAAAUAGAAAAACAAGAUGUUAAAAGGGCCAGAAAAAAUUCAGAUGGACUUAUUUGACUUAAAGUCGGAUUCUAAUACAAAUUUAAAUCCUGGUAUCUAUGAUGAAUUUAUUUACAACCACUGGGUCGAUGCCACUACUGGUGGAGUUUUAAUUCUGCGACGGUAUCACCAACCCAGUAGUCAGUACCUCUGUGCUGACAUGAAUUGUCCUUGAUAUGAUCAUUUUUAUAAAUUAACUGUUUACAAAACUUUUGAAUGUGUGAAUUACUAAGGCUUUUCUACCGCAGUAAUAUAUUACCUUAGCUGUUUAUGGCAAAACUUUAAGGAAUAUUGGUCCUCAAUGCUCUUCAACUUCGUAUUUCAUUUGGCCUUUUUGUUUUUUGGAUUCGUGCGUCACCGAUGAGUCUUUUGUAGACGAAACGCGCGUCCAGCGUAAAAACAAAUUUAAAUCCUGGUAUCUAUGAUGAGUUUAUUUAUCCAUGACACAAAAAACAAAUACAGAAAAUCUCAAUCUAUGAUUGAAUUACACAAAAGAUGCUUACGCAUUUUACCGAUGUCAAAAGUUUGUUAUUCUCAUUUGAAUACAAAAACAAGGGAUAACAUACUAGAAAAUUCCAUGGUCUUCAAACUUCGAACGACUGGAUGCUUUUACAGGGUACCUCAUGGUCUUCAAACGUAGAAAACUGGAUGUUUUGACAGGGUUUCUCAUGGUCUUUACACGUAGAAAGACCGGAUGAUUUGAUAGGGUACCUCAUGGUCUUUACACGUAGAAAACCGGAUUUUUUGACAGGCUAUCCUCUGGUCUUUACACGUAAAAAGACCGGAUGCUUUGACAGGUUAGCCUAUCGUCUUCAUGGAUACUUUGAAGGGUAUCCCAUUGUCUUCAAACGUUAAACGACUAGAUGCUAUGAAUGUGUAUCCCAUGGUCUUUAAACGUAGAAAGACCGGAUACUUUUACAUGGUAUCCUAUGGUCAUCAAACGUAGAAAGACAAAAAGACCCGAUGCUUUUACAUGGUAUCCUAUGGUCAUCAAACGUAGAAAGACCGAAUACUUUUACAUGGUAUCAUAUGGUCAUCAAACGUAGAAAGACCGGAUGCUUUUACAGGGUUUCCUAUGGUCUUCAUACUUAGAAAAACGGGAUGCUUUGAGGGUAUCCUAUAGUCGUCAAACGUAGAACGACUGAAUUAUUUUAAAGUGUAUCCCAUGGUAUUCAUAUGUAGAACAACUGGAUGCCUUGAAAGUUUAUUCCAUGUUUAAAAAGGAUAAGCGUCUCUGGCAUGUAUCACCCGCAAUAACAAUCAAGACUCAAUUAAAACUAUCACAAGCUUAAAUUAGGCAGAACCGACAAAUCACAGACCACACGACUGCAAUAAGGACGAUAAACGCAAAAAAUGCUGGAGGGUUAACCAUGUUUUGUUAGAUUUCAACCCUUCCCCUAUACCUCAAGCUAAAGUGGAAUAAACAAACAGACUACAAAACGCACAAUAAAACUCAGUUCAAAAGAUGUUAGAAUAGGUAACAGAAGAAACAUGAAAAAUCUCAUGAAAAUCAACCACAAUCCCUGCAAUAAUUAAUAUUUCAAUAAUUAAUAGCAUGAUUAUACUUUUAAAUCGGUAAUUUAAACGUAGAGACAUCAUAGUUAUUUUUAUAAUACAUUUUUGUAUAUGUUUAAGAAUUCAGUAGUGAAGCAGUUGUUUAUAGUUUCAUGUUUUCAACUAGAAUUAUUAUUAUCAUGAUUGAACGCUGCAAAAGUCAUAAAUCUGAAUAGACCAGUUUUUGUCUUAAUUUGGAUGAACUUUUACUCGACAUUCUCCAAAAGUAUGACUUGUGUCUUAUUUUUUCUUGACAAAAUCUCAUUUAUAUUAAAUUUGUAUGAAAUUUACUCUACAUAUUCUCGACAUUCUGAAUAUGGUCUUAAAACUUCUUGACAAAUUCUUGACAUUUGAAUACUGUCUUGAAAUUUCAAGACAUAUUCUCGACAUUCUCAUUUUUUCUCGGUAUGGCUUGACAUAUUCUGAACAUUUUGAAUUGUGUCUUAAUUUUACUUGACAAUUCUGAUUUUUACAAAUCAUGACCAAUAUUCAUGAUAUAACUUUAAUCUUCAUUUCUCUUUAUAUAAUAUACUGUUGUUUAAAGUAACACUUCUUACAACAAAAAUUAAAGUUGGGCAUGUAAAAUAAUUGAAAUUUAAGGUGUAUGAAUUUACAGAUGCAAAUAUGGCUAUAAAAUCUAAAGUUUUAAUAAUUCAAAUGUCGGUAUGUUGAUAUAAAACAAUUUGAUUACUAAAUCUUAUGAAUAAUUACUAAAUGAUUAAAACCAAUCAAACUGUAGACAUAUUUCAUUUUACAUUCUUAAUAUUCAAUGCUAAUAUGGUAACAAAUUAUUGUAACAAAAUGUGGUUUAUAUAAAUAGCAAAGUAUAAUGGUAUCCUAAUUUCUCCAAGGAUUUGUAUAGUCUUUCUAUAAAUCCGUCAUCUAACAGAAGAAAAUUUGUGUAAUGUCAUCUGUUGGUAUACAUAUUAUUAGUUACAUGGUGUGUUAGAGACUCUCCAUAUGGAAUUUACUGACCCCAUAUAUAUCGUAUUAGGUCACUAGCAAGCCAUGUAACGAAUUUAUCUUACCGACUAUCUUCACAUUUGGUAUUUUGCCUAUCAAAGUGAUCAAGUCUUCAAUACUUAGUAUUAAGAUCCUACUUCCAUUUGUCUAUACAGAAAAAAAAAAAAAAAAAAAUGCCAACAAUAGCAACUUUUUACCUUUAAAAUUUGUUUUAUGAAUUAAUUUUCAAUACAUGUAUUUUAAUUACUUCGUCUGUUGAAUCCCUUCAGAUUUUUUUUGUUUGUUUUGAAAGGGAAGUAACCCCGUUAUGCCAACAAUAACAACUUGUUAGCUUCGAUUAUGUUUUAUGAACUAAUUUCAACCUUUCAUCAUCAAUUUCUUCGUCUUUUGAAUCCUUUCAGAUUUUCCUCAACAUUGUGUUGUUUUUAUGAAGGGCUGUGACAUCAUUUUUGUUUUGAAAGGGAAGUAACUCCUUACUUACCCAAUAUGGUAACUAACCAUGUAUGGUUGCUAACCCUAUAUUUUGUAGGACACCCUAUAUCAUAUAUACAUUGCCACCACGUGUAGUCCUUUAACCAAUCAUAUCUCUAUCAAUCCAUAGGAUCCAUAGGAGGUAAGAUAAUAAGUAUUACACGUAGACAGGAUAUUCCCCAUAAAAUUAAGGUCCACACCCAAGGGUACACGCAACUGUCAAAUAGAAAUUACUGCUUUACCUGUAAUCAGCCAUACAACUUAUCAGUUGACCGACCAUGUCACUACAAUUUAAAAAGUUUGUUGAUAGAUGAAAAUGAAAAUAAUAAUUGUAAUGAAAAAAAAAAAAUGAAUUACAAUGGAUUUUCUUCAUCAAAAUUAUGACAUUAAUUAUUAAAAAAAAACUGAAUAAUUCCCAAAGUUUAAAAAAAAAAUAUUAUCUACUCCAGGAAUAAUAAUAAAAAGUUUUUAUAAUGAGUCCCAUAUAGAAAUCAUUGAUCUUAUGAAAUGUAUCUCAUACAUACAUUCAUAAUAUAGAUCUAAAAAAAAAAAAAUCUUUUCAGGAGGGUAUAAAAUUCAACACUCAAAUUUAAAUAAAAAAUGUUUUGGGUAGUUUUAAAAAAUGAAUAAGGUUUUUGAAUAAAGAUUGGAACAAAUUCUUUGACCUAAAUGAAAGGCCCCCCUUUCAGUUACAUAAACGGAAAAAAUGAAUUGUAGGGUCUAAAAGAGACACAUAGUCACAUUUAAAACUGCCUACAAGACACCUAUUUUAAUAAAGCAAAUUUGACUGGCAGUUUUGCGAAAGGCAUAAAUCCAAAUGCUGUUUUUCAGUAACUUUGAGAUAUAUUCCAAGUGAAAACAAUUGAUUAAACGUUAAAUAAAAAUAUAUCAAAAUUAAACUACAUGGGGGAUUAUUAAGGGUAUUCCAACUUAGUUGCACCUAAAGAGUAUCUUACUUUACAAAAUUAAUCCUAGAUUCUUCAAAGUUUAGUUACGCCGUACUAGAAAGGAGCAUAUAACAGCAAUAGAAAGUCACAAACAGUCCAGAAUAAGUCUGUUCACAUUUCAGGCGAAAUUUAUACUGUUGAGAUAUUGUCAAGACAUAUUGAAGACGUUCAAGAAUGUGUCGAGAUAUAUUCAGACAGAUUUAAGACUGUCAAGAACAUAUCCAGACAUUAUUUUCAUACUUUUUGACUUUUGUCGUGACGUAGAAACAUAUCUUCAUCAUAUAACAUCGGUUAUUUUAUAGGUCGGUCUAUUUAUGACUGUGUUGUUGUUGGAUUUUCCUCCAAGUAUAGAUGCAGAAAUAAGCUAUCAAAUAAAUUCCACGGACAACAAACCAGACUGUUUUAAGAGAGGGAUCAAUAUAACAUGUUUCAAAGAAUUUCUGCAACCGGCAACAGAGACGCUAAACGAUACAAGCUCAUCUAAUUUCUUAUCGGAAUUAUUGAGAAAGAUCAAUAGUGAGGCUGAAACAACUGGUAAAUCUCGACACAAAAGGCAGGCAGGUGGUGUACCAGUUAGACGGGAAGUUAGAGCAGCUCCAUACGAAAACAACUUUUUACGUUACGCACUAGCUGUACGGGUGUUAAAGAACC
rnacentral:lncRNA from 1 species